UCCAGCCUGGGUGACAGAACGAGACCCUGUCUCUUUGUUUGUGGAGUCAGAGUCCUACUCUGUCACCCAAGCUGAA
rnacentral:miRNA from 1 species